CGCGUCGGUGGCGAACGGGGUGCCGGGUGGUUCGGGGCUGUUCAAGUGGCUGCCGCUGCUGUCGUUCGGGACGAUCGUCACGGC
rnacentral:tRNA from 2 species